rnacentral:rRNA from 1 species
GUGCAGCAGUCGAGAAUACUUUACAAUGCGGGCAACCGCGAUAAGGGGACCUCGAGUGCUGGGUUACAAACCUGGCUGUUGGGCUGCCUAAAAAGCAGUCUAUAGCAAGGGCCGGGCAAGACCGGUGCCAGCCGCCGCGGUAACACCGGCGGCUCGAGUGGUAACCGCUAUUAUUGGGUCUAAAGGGUCUGUAGCCGGCCGACUAAGUCUCUUGGGAAAUCUGGCAUCUCAAGUGUCAGGCUGCCAGGGGAUACUGGUCGGCUUGGGACCGGGAGAGGUGAGAGGUACCUCGGGGGUAGGGGUGAAAUCUUGUAAUCCUCGAGGGACCACCAGUGGCGAAGGCGUCUCACCAGAACGGAUCCGACGGCAAGGGACGAAAGCUAGGGGCACGAACCGGAUUAGAUACCCUUGUAGUCC